CCCUCUUCCCCAAUUUAAAUAGCUUUGGAUACGUUUCACAAGCAACAUCUGUUUUGACCACAGCUGUUUCAGAUGUAACGGUACAUCGGAUAAUUGUUAUUGUUGUAAAUAUGUGCAGGCCGGAGUGUGGUUGUCAGUCAGUGGUGUACAGACCGAUUUCUCGGUAAUUAACGCGGUGCUGAAAUUGGAGAGAUGUGGAGGUGGUGAAUUUGCUCCGCACCCGCCAAUCUGCCAGUCAGAGGGAUGCUGAAAAAUUUCGGUUUGAGAUAUGAAAUGAAGAAUAUCUUACGUGUCUUUGCUGAUGCGCUUCGGAGGAUGCUUCGCUGGAGAUGACAGCCCGUCUUCUUCUCGCCAUGUGCUGUAACAAAAGCAUCCCAUGCAUCCGAAGCCUGUCCCUUUAAAGCCUUGCUGCAUCCCUGCAGGUGGCCUGUCAAUUUAGCGGAUCCGAAUGACGUCACUGCAUGGCUGGAAAAGCUUGAAUGAGCAACAUUUGAAGCUUGCUGAAUCUUGCCUGAAGAGGAGCAGAAUAUGCAUGAAUAUAAGUCACAAUAUGUAAUCAAUUGGAAAUAAAUGCAUCCAGAACAGAAGGAAUUGUG
ensembl:lncRNA